rnacentral:rRNA from 1 species
UAAGCGGAGGAAAAGAAACUAACAAGGAUUCCCCUAGUAACGGCGAGUGAAGUGGGAAAAGCUCAACUUUGAAAUCUGGUACUUUCAGUAUCCGAAUUGUAGUCUCAAGAAGUGUUUUCUGUGCCGGUCCAUGUAUGAGUCUGUUGGAACACAGCGUCAUAGAGGGUGACAACCCCGUUCAUGACAUGGAUCCCGGUGCUUUGUGAUACACUCUCGAAGAGUCGAGUUGUUUGGGAAUGCAGCUCAAAUUGGGUGGUAAAUUCCAUCUAAAGCUAAAUAUUGGCGAGAGACCGAUAGCAAACAAGUACCGUGAGGGAAAGAUGAAAAGCACUUUGGAAAGAGAGUUAACAGUACGUGAAAUUGUUGAAAGGGAAACGAUUGAAGUCAGACGUGCGUGAUGCGGUUCAGCUUUAGUUCGCUAGAGUGUACUCCGUAUCUUUGCAGGCCAACAUCGGUUUUGUUAGUCGGAUAAAGGUUUGAGAAAUGUGGCACCUUCGGGUGUGUUAUAGUCUCAGACUGAAUACGAUUGAUGGGACCGAGGAACGCAGCGCGCCGCAAGGCAAAGGUUCCGACC